CCUUGUGUUUAUAGAAAGAAGGACACACCCAGCUCCAUCCCGAACCUGGCAGUUAAGCUUCUUCUCGCUGAUGAUACUGCACUUUUCAAGUGUGGAAAUGUAGGUUGAUGCAGGGA
rnacentral:rRNA from 1 species